GCGGGGAGAGAGCGCCCCAGGCAGAGGGAACGGCCAGUGCCAAGGUCCUGAGGCAGGCGUGUGCUGGGACAUCUGAAGAACAGCAAAAACACCAGGGUAGUUGGAGCAAAAUGAGCAACAGCACGUGAGUCCCCCAGGGCUGGUGCAGCCGAGUGCCACAGGCGGGGCAGCUCAGACAGCAGACGGGUAUUUCCUGGAGCUUGAGGAGGCUGGCAGUCCGAUUAGUUGAGACAAGGUUACAUUUGUUUAGACAAGCCCUACAAUAUUAAAAAAGAAGAAAGAAGAAGGCAAAGUACAUGGAGUUUCCAAGUACAGAGAACAUUCCGUUCCCUGGGCUUCAUCUGACAGCUGAAUGUGCUUUACGUUGAGAAGACAAGCUAUAGCUUGUAAAGCAAAUGUGGAAACAAUCUCAACGGCAGGCAGAACCUCUUCUGGGCGGCCCCGUGCAACUUGCCAAGUUGGAUUUCGCCUGCGUAAUCAUUAUCAUGAAACACUGUGAGAGCUCCUUGGGCAAGAAAAUCAAACAUUUCAAGUGCUGAUGUUUUUGUUAAACUCGGUUCCAGCUGAAUCAAGAAAAAGAAGUCCUCUGUAAUGACCUUCUUCAUGGUCUUGCAUUAACGAAGUGGUCUCCCCAAAGAUGCCUCCCUCCUGCCAUUUAGGAUUUGUGCAGAUCCAAGGUCUCCUGAAUGGAUGUUGACUUUGAUAAAAUGUUAUUCCUGCACCUCUUGCCCCUGGGCAAGCUCUGUGGGGUGCUGGGGCAUCCCCAGCCCCCUGGGGAAGGGGUGUCUCCAACAACCCCAUCUCUACUCCCCUAGAGCUGCUUCACCUUCAGAUCACUUAAUACUCGCUCCAGUAUUAAUAUAUUAUUGCUUGACUCAUUUAUUGUCUUUCCCUUCUAAUAAGAAAAUAAACUCCAAGAGGGCAGGGACUUUUUCUGUCUUGUUUACUUCUGUAGCCCAGGCUUCUAGAAAAGCACGUGACGCACACUAGGUGCUCAGUAAGUAUUCAUGGCGCUAGUCAUUAGGAAAUGUAUCUCAUUGUGGUUUCCAUUUGCAUUUCCCUGAUGAUUAGAGAUGAGCAGUUUUUCAU